AUCGCUUCUCGGCCUUUUGGCUAAGAUCAAGUGUAGUGUCUAAAAAGAAUAGCCACAUCUGAAAUCCUAGAAAUUACUGUCCAGUUUUAACCAAGAAAAGACUAGUAUAUUUUUUAGCUUUUGCCAGAAUCUAAUUUAUAUUCUACUUUUUUUCAGAGAUGUCUUUUUUGGGCCAAAGAUCUCGUU